rnacentral:misc_RNA from 1 species
UGUUCGAGCGUCAUUAAUACCAAUCUAGCCCGGCUAGGUGUUGGGCUUCGCCGUCUGGCGGGCCUUAAAAUCAGUGGCGGUGCUCUGCAGCUCUACGCGUAGUAAUUUUUCUCGCUAUAGGGCCUGUGGAGAUGCUUGCCAGCAACCCCAAAUUUUUCUAGGUUGACCUCGGAUCAGGUAGGGAUACCCGCUGAACUUAA